UGGCAGUGCAUGGGUGUGUGUUGAAUAAUGAAUAAAAGCCCAGGGAUUUGGAGUGUUGAAGUAAUUAGAGAUGGAUCUUUACCAAGGAAGAGCAGCCAGAGGAGAGCAGAGCAGACACAGGAACAGGGAACAGAACAAGCUGCACAGAAGAGGAGGAGAAAUAAGAGGAGAGGGGUUGGAUGAGCCAAUUGGAAGGUGAGAAUAAUUAGGUGAUGGUCAUGAUAGUAUGAGGGCCAGGUUGAGAAUUUAGCCUGGAAACCAAGGUUAACACCCAUACUGCUACAUGUUAUUUAUUUAGCCUGGACACCAGGGUUAACACCCAUACUACUACAUGUUGUUUAGCCUGGACACCAGGGUUAUCACCCAUACUACUACAUGUUGUUUAUUUAGCCAGGACACCAGGGUUAACACCCAUACUACUACAUGUUGUUUAUUUAGCCUGGACACCAGGGUUAACACCCAUACUACUACAUGUUGUUUAUUUAGCCAGGACACCAGGGUUAACACCAAUACGACUACAUGUUGUUUAUUUAGCCUGGACACCAGGGUUAUCACCCAUACUACUACAUGUUGUUUAUUUAGCCAGGACACCAGGGUUAACACCCAUACUACACAUGUUGUUUAGCCUGGACACCAGGGUUAUCACCCAUACUACUACAUGUUGUUUAUUUAGCCUGGACACCAGGGUUAUCACCCAUACUACUACAUGUUGUUUAUUUAGCCAGGACACCAGGGUUAUCACCCAUACUACUACAUGUUGUUUAUUUAGCCUGGACACCAGGGUUAUCACCCAUACUACUACAUGUUGUUUAUUUAGCCUGGACACCAGGGUUAUCACCCAUACUACUACAUGUUGUUUAUUUAGCCUGGACACCAGGGUUAACACCCAUACUACACAUGUUGUUUAGCCUGGACACCAGGGUUAUCACCCAUACUACUACAUGUUGUUUAUUUAGCCUGGAUACCAGGGUUAACACCCAUACUUACUGUGACUCGGUUUGACAUCUUAUUCUUAGGGCAACACCGUUUGAAGGGUGUAAGUCCAUGACUAUCCAGCCACCACCCUCUAACCUCCCCCACCGUUCCCUCCUUCUUUCCCUCCCUUUCUCUUCCCAUUGUCUCAAGGAGAAAGUGAGGCCUGCCUUGUUUCAGAAACAGUCAGACAAGUGUCAACGUCUCCUGUGGAUCACAUUGCAUGUGGAGCGCAGCCAUGUGGACAAAUUAAGCAUCCUGACUGGUUGCAUCACUGCCUGGUAUUGCAACUGCCCGGGCUCCGACCGCAAGGCACUACAAAGGGUAGUGUAUACGGCCCAGUACAUCACUGGGGCCAAGCUUCCUGCCAUCCACAACCUCUAUAUCAGGCGGUGUCAGAGGAAGGCCCUAAAAAUGGUCAAAGACUCCAGCCACCCUGUCAUAGACUGUUCUCUCUGCUACCACACGACAAGCGAUACCCGAGCGCCAAGUCGAGGUCCAGGGCUUCUUAGCAGCUUCUACCCCCACCCCUCUUUUAUACAGCUGCUACUCUCUGUUUAUUAUCUAUGCAUAGUCACUUUACCAACAUGUACAUAUUACUUCAAUUACCUCAACUAUACGGUGCCUCAGCACAUUGACUCUGUACCGGUACCCCCUGUAUAAAGCCUCGCUUGUUAUUUUACUGCUGCUGUUUAAAUAUUUCUUACUUUUAUUUUCUAUUUUUUACUUAUCUAUUUUUUACUUAAUGCUUAUUUUUAUUAACUUCUUAAAGCAUUGUCGGUUAAGGGCUUGUAAGUAAGUUGUAUUCGGCGC
rnacentral:lncRNA from 1 species